rnacentral:rRNA from 1 species
UAGGGAAUAUUGGGCAAUGGGUGAGAGCCUGACCCAGCCAUGCCGCGUGCAGGAAGACGGCCCUCAGGGUUGUAAACUGCUUUUCUACGGGAAGAAAGAGGUUGUGCGCAACCAGUUGACGGUACCGUAGGAAUAAGCACCGGCUAACUCCGUGCCAGCAGCCGCGGUAAUACGGAGGGUGCAAGCGUUGUCCGGAUUUAUUGGGUUUAAAGGGUACGUAGGCGGGCGUCUAAGUCAGUGGUGAAAGCCUACAGCUCGACUGUGGAACUGCCAUUGAUACUGGAUGCCUUGAGUAUAGUAGAGGUGGGCAGAAUUCAUGAUGUAGCGGUGAAAUGCAUAGAUACCAUGAGGAAUACCGAUAGGGAAGCCAAGCUCACUGGACUAUUACUGACGCUAAGGUACGAAAGCGUGGGGAGCGAACAGGAUUAGAUACCCUGGUAGUCCACGCUGUAAACGAUGCUCACACAGUGUUGGCGAUAUUA